rnacentral:rRNA from 1 species
AUGAACGCUAGCGGGAGGCUUAACACAUGCAAGUCGAGGGGCAUCGCGAGGUAGCAAUACUUUGGUGGCGACCGGCGCACGGGUGAGUAACGCGUAUGCAACCUACCCUGUACAGGGGGAUAGCCCGGAGAAAUUCGGAUUAAUACCCCAUAAUAAUAUUUGAUGGCAUCAUUAGAUAUUUAAAGUUUCGACGGUACGGGAUGGGCAUGCGUAACAUUAGCUAGUUGGUAAGGUAACGGCUUACCAAGGCCACGAUGUUUAGGGGUCCUGAGAGGGUGAUCCCCCACACUGGUACUGAGACACGGACCAGACUCCUACGGGAGGCAGCAGUGAGGAAUAUUGGUCAAUGGGCGCAAGCCUGAACCAGCCAUCCCGCGUGCAGGAAGACGGCGCUAUGCGUUGUAAACUGCUUUUCCAGGGAAAGAAAACCCCCGACGUGUCGGGGCUUGCCGGUACCCUGGGAAUAAGCAUCGGCUAACUCCGUGCCAGCAGCCGCGGUAAUACGGAGGAUGCAAGCGUUAUCCGGAUUUAUUGGGUUUAAAGGGUGCGUAGGCGGAUUAAUAAGUCAGUGGUGAAAACCUGCAGCUUAACUGUAGACUUGCCAUUGAUACUGUUAGUCUUGAGUACGGUCAAGGUAGGCGGAAUGUGUAAUGUAGCGGUGAAAUGCUUAGAUAUUACACAGAACACCGAUUGCGAAGGCAGCUUACUGGGCCAUUACUGACGCUGAGGCACGAAAGCGUGGGGAGCGAACAGGAUUAGAUACCCUGGUAGUCCACGCCGUAAACGAUGAUCACU